rnacentral:lncRNA from 1 species
CCCAAAGUGCUGGGAUUACAGGCGUGAGCCACGGUGCCUGGCCAAACAACUUGAUUUCACUUGGUGGUGUGGAACUUCAGCAUGAGUAAUUCCAUGUUGGUCUGGUGUGUUGGCCUCAUUGCAGGAGCUCAGUCCAAACCAAUGACCUCCUAUAAAAUUUUUUAACAGGACAAAUGCUGGCUUGGUGCAUGGCUUGGAGCAGUGGUGCACCUUGCAUUGUCAUCCACGCCCAUGGAAACUGCGAAGAUGGAGUUCUAAUAGAACACAGCCCUUCCUCUGACGUGCACAGGAUAUGAAAAUGUCUGAUAGUGUUGUGGCUGCAGUGAGACCUGGGAGUGGCAGUUUCUUUCACUGCAGUUGUCUGUCCAAAGCGAAGUGAACUAGCAAGUCUCUUACAAAAGGGCAAGCUCUGAACUGCGCACAGUAAUUACGGCUGGGAACUUAAUAUCACAAGGGUAUCAGAGCAGAGCGGUGUCAUGCAUGUGAAUAUCUUCCAUCAUUUGUGUGGCAACAGAAGUCAAGUUUGACAGCAGUUUCUCUAAAACACAAUUUCUAGUUUCACUAUGUAGAUAUGUUUUUCCGGAGGUACUGGUGACAAGGCAGGGACCACGUCCUCAAGAAGCUGUCCUAGGACCUCCGAGAAAGAGCUGGGAAGCUGCUGCUUCCUACAUUCACUGAGGAAUGCAUACCGCUGGCUCCUCUCCUGCAGCUGGGUCAUUAUACAGAAAUCUGGAGCAGGGGCUUUGGCUCAGAUCACAUCCCUCAAUGUUUGAUGUAGGAGAAGAGUACAGGGGUGGAUGGGCAUAUUCCUGCCUGCACAAGAACAAGACCAUUAAAAAGCUGAUUCAUAGGUCUCUAAUCGUGGGAAACCUCGUAUGGCAGAAUGCAGGUCCAAAAGUCCUGGACUCUGAUCCAGAUAAACGGAAGUCUCAGGAAGAAAUAAAGAAAUUGGGACACAGAGAAUGUAAAUGGAGAUGCAGUGGAAUCAGACUCCAGAGUUCCCACUCAAAAACUUUUCUCUCUCUCCUAUCUUGUGAGGAAGGACAUUUUAGGUAUUACUUCAUCUAGAAAGGAAUGGCUCUUCAGCGAGGCAAGCAGAACUGGGAAUGCAGAGCCCAGGUUUGCAGCUUCACUUCUGAAGUCAAGC